CCGAGGGCACGUCCUUGAGGUCCCACACGUACGACCGGUCCGAGUAGCCCUGCGGCGUCAGCGUGAUGUCAUAGCUGGCACCGCUGUAGCCCGACUUGACGAAGAUGGUCCCGGUGCAGGUGAUGUCGGCUACAGAGCACAAGGAAGUUCACAUACGUGCACGCACAGGUAGGGAGGGUACGGUACGUUCGAGUAAGCGGGGGAGUGGAAGGGAGUGAGUGGGAGGCCACCUGCUGUAGUGGUGGCAGAGGGGCGCUGCCCACCGACAGAGCUGCACACGCCCCCAGCCGCCGGCACCCGAGGGUGUGUGCAGCUCGGCCGUGCGUGCAACGCCUGAGUGCCUGACCCCAGCCCAGCUGCCUGCUGCAUGGUCGCUACGACCGCUGACGCUGCUGCCACCCAACCGCUUUCUCCACACAAGCAAGACGUCGCGGGACGGCGGAGGACGGCGGAGGUAGGGUGGGCGCCUCAUCACGCGUACGGCGAGCGAGCGUCGGCGGGCGCCGCAGCAUGGACAGGCAUACCCCGCAGGAAUUAUACGUUGCUACUACAAGGGGAUCACUGGGAUGCCUAACGCGGCGAGUAAACAAGCGAGCCGAACAAGAUUGCAUCCCAGCUUCCCGUGUAAGGUGGCUCUGGUUUUCUCAGCUGUGCGCACUUACGAGAAGCUACUGCGCUCGUGAUGGCUGCGACGAGCAGCGCCGCAACGUGGAGACCGGGCCGCAUCGUGUCGCGAGCUUGAAGCCGAGCUUGAAGCUCCUGUAUGCAGCCUUACUUGCCUUCAAGCCAGCUCCCCUAAUACUCGAAAGCUUACUCAAUGAACUAUGUGGUGGUUCUCAUGGAACAACGACGACGGCAGGCCACGCAACCGGCCAAAGUCGCACAAGUACUGUACGGAUGUGCGGGCUGUGUGGGCUGUGUGGGUUAUUUCAUGAAGCGUGGAGACAGUAAGGUUGGGAGACUGUCUAGGCAGGUUGAAACGCUCCUAACUCGAGUUCAAGUUGGGCAGAGUCGGGCCAGGUCGGGCACGGCGGUACCGUCGGGCACGUCGGUUAUCCACACUAGACUCGGCCUGACUCGACCAAGUCGCGCGAUUGCGGACACUUAGGCCUUUGAAAGAUUUCCAAACGACACAAACGAGCAUCCUUUGCAAGGUAUCGCAGCCUGGUCGGGCCGGGCGCGUGUCCAGGGUAUCGCACUGCUUCGAUGUCUCGCGUUCCCGGCAGCUGCCCGGCGUGGAGGCCUCGCGCUGAGGAGGGGCCCCAGCCACUUUUCCACCCGCGCCCGGGUCACCGGUUCGGCCAACGGCCCAGGGCCUAUCUCUUCCAAGUGCUGCCAUACCGCUGCCUGCUGAGGAUACAUGCAUGCUUCACACCAUACAUGGCAGGUCCUGUGCCACACAUUUGCCGCCUUCUCAGAGGUGCUGCUCCUCCUUUGUUGCAUCGGGAUCGUUAACGUGCAGUACCAGGGGUAUGGUAGACUCGCACGCUGGUAUCAUCUCUCUGGCCCAGGUAUCCAUGGCGCUACUUGCGCAUGAUGCCGCUUAGCGCAUAGAGUUUACAUGUCGGACGACACCCGUGGACAUGCCAGGGGUGUGUGAUGGGACAGUGGCAAGGCAGGUUGGCAAAGUCCCUUAGGGCGCAGCUAAUUCCCAUACCCAACAAAUGGCAAACAGUUGGCAGAGGCAGGGCAAGAGUGCGCGGCUGGGCUAACGCCGGAGUUACUGUACCGACGAGUUGCUGGCUGGCUGGAAGUUUGCUGACGCGCAUUCCUCACGCUCCAAAGCCGUGGACAUGCCAGGGGUUCAUGAUGGUGCUGAGCGCCACAGCAGUUGGCGCACCGGGCGCACGCGCCGCAGGCAUCAUAAGAAGCACCGGUAACACUGGGGUACAAGCCGCGACGCCGACCCUGCGGGCUGCGGGUCUACACCAUACGCAUGCUUGCUGCUUCCGUGCCUUGUCACCGCCACUUCCACUUGCUUGCUUCGAGACCGCCCCAGCCAGCACUGUCAGGUGCAGGUCUCAACCCGGUUACUGUAGCGUACGUUGAUAAAAAUAACCACAACAGCAGUCACCAAAAACGGGUUGAAUCCAAAUGAAGCCCAUCAAAGCGCGCACGCGUGAUUACGAAGCCGCGCGCCGCGCUGUGACCCAGCCCGUCAACUCCAACCACACGCCCAACCUUCCGGUUGGGCUCCGGUAAACCGUGACAGUGAUGUCACAGAUGUCACAUUGAUUGCAGAGGAUGAAUGCACACGAUAGACUUCACGCGCGCUAAUACAUACUCAGCGGGGCAACACAUGUACGGCAUCGUCCUGACUGGCUACUCCACGAUUGCUCCGAUGCGCCUUUACGGAGCAGGCGAGGUGCGCUUGCUGCCAACGCGCUUGCGGCCACCAGCGCCGCCGCUGCCAGCCGGCUUGUUGCCGCCCUUGUUGCCGCCCCGCUUGCCCCCAGUGGACUUGCCACCGGCACCGCCCUUCUUGCCACCGGCACCACCGCCCCUCUUGCCGCCCGCACCGCCGUUCUUGCUGCCACGGGUCGCGGCGGGAUCUGCAAACAUACCGGUAGGACAGCAAAAGCGAGGGCAGUCAGGGCACACGAUGUACGACAGGCUGGGGCACUGGAGUACUGAAGACACUGCAGCGCACCCAAGUUGACACUCCACAAUCGGGGCGGUCCAGCCCUGCAUGCGGCACUGGGUUCCCUGGCUGCCCGAUGGUUACCGACAUAACCACACCCACACACCCACAAGCCAAGCAAGGGAGCCGCCAUCAACCCCAUCCCCACACGCACCGGUGGACGCAGCAGAGGCGCGGCCAGCAUGGCGGGUCUGGGUGGUCGAGCCUGAUGCGGUGAGGCAGAAGCGGUACAGAAGAGAGUGAGUGCAGGGAUGGGAAGCAGGGUGGUGUGGCUAAGCAUCAGGUGCUCAGCACGGUCUUACACGGCCGGACGGGGGCUGCUACACGCCGUGGUCUUCACAGGACUCACAGCCGCGCAAACGCCAUGCACACGGUGCCAACCGCAAGUGUAGGCAGACCGGGCACAACACACAGCACUCCACAUUUAUAUUAUUUGCCCCGGACGCGGUCCACCAAAUAGAUACCCGCGAGCAGGGGAGAGACCGGGCUUCCCUUCCAUCCGCGAUCCCUAGCUUGCUUACCCGUCUCCGCGAGCAGGUGGCGACCAGGCUUGCCGCUGGGCUUCUUUCCGGGCUUCUUCCCGGGCUUCUUUCCGGGCUUCUUCUUGCCGCCAGGGGCUGCGGGGCGCGCGAGGGGGAAGACAUGUAGGCAGGAAGGAAACGCCAGGUACACGGUAGGAAGCAAGAGAUAUUGCAUUGCGAGCCGCCCCGGUCAAAGAAGGGCCUCAGGUAAACGGACAGCCGGGGGCAACCAUGCCGCACGUGGGCGCGCUACUUAAGCUUACAAGGCUUGGGCGAGGGCUUGGGCGAGGGGCUGGGCUUGGGCGAAGGGCUGGGCUCUGGGGAGGGACUGCUGGGAUCCUCGCCGUUGUCAUCGCCAGAUUCGGGCGAGGGGCUAGGGCGGGGCGAGGGGCUGGGCUUGGGCGAGGGGCUGGGCUCUGGGGAGGGGCUCGGCUUGGGCGAGGGGGAGGGGGAGGGCUUGGGCGAGGGGGAGGGCUUGGGUGAGGGGCUGUGUUCCUCGUUGUCGGACUCCGGAGAGGGAGAGGGCUUGGGCGCGCCUGCGAACCGGGGAAGGGGUUAGUGGCCGAGCCUAACCAGUACGAUAGGUCCCAUCUUUAUUGAGAAGCCCAACCAUCGAGAGCGAGGGCAUGUGCCUGCGUGUCGUGCGUGUGCAUGCACCCGUGUGCGUGUCAUGCGUGUCACGGCAGGUCCGGGCCGGCUACCCAGCCCGACUCGCAGCAGGUGCCUCCCGUACUGGUAGUGCAUGCGUUGAGUCUACACAUACCCCCUUGUCACCUGCGGGCGUGGUGGGCGUCUUCGGUCGCGACUUGGGCAGCCGGAAUUGGGGGUCGUUGUACAGGAGGGCCACGGCCGAGAGGCGGGAGCCCCAGCCGGCGGGCAUGGGGCUCAGGGCGCCAGCGCAGCUCGUGCCGUCGGCGGAGGCGGCGCAGGUGACGUUGACGGAGACGCCGCCUCCGUUGCCGCGCGACCCGGGCUCAGCCCACACGCGCAUGAUGAUCUUCCUGCGCGCGUAAAAAGGGGGGGAUGUGCGAAGUGUAAACGGAAGCCGUUGACUGCAAGGUGGGGGCUUUCGACAGGCUUGAUGUAUCGCGAGGAGACAUGUGCCCGAGCACGGCCGGGUCAGACGCCACGUCAUGUUGUUGCGCCCGCCGCCUCGCAGGUAGGCUCGCACUCACUCAUAGUCGGCGGCGCAGGAGGCGGUGCUGUCGUCCAGGCAGGUGCAGGACAGCUUGAGUGAGUUGGCCAGGUCAUCCCAGGUGGGCUUGCCGGGAACCUGCUUGGGGCCGCAGGGGGGGGGAGGCAGAGAGGGGGUGGUGAAGACGGUGGUCGUCUGAGAGCGGCGCGUCGCGGGUUGCUCCCAGUCUCCAUUUGCAAGGUCAGGACACGGCAGUGGCCCCUAGGCUACGGGCGAACGCAGAACUGAAGGCGUACAUGGGGGCUGUACGCAGGUUCUUCCGCUUGCACCUGCCGCUCCAUACGCAGGCAUCUGCAGUGUAAGCUACUACGCUGGUUGCGGCCUGCAACUGCGGCCACCGCUGCUGGCCACUCACACAGCACCACGCCGCUAGACACGCCCGUGCACGGACGCCCGCGGAUGCCUCUUCCCCCGACCCCCCACCGGCGAUGCGUCGCACUCACCCCCGAGGGCACGUCCUUGAGGUCCCACACGUAUGACCGGUCCGAGUCGCCCUGCGGCGUCAGCGUGAUGUCAUAGCUGGCACCGCUGUAGCCCGACUUGACGAAGAUGGUCCCCGUGCAGGUGAUGUCAGCUACAGUGCACAAGGGAGUUCAGUGUAGCGAGUUGCGUACAGUGUCAACCAGUACUCAGAUUUUGCAACAUGGGUACAGCUGUAAGCACGGCGUUUCUCAAAAGGAAAGCGAGAACUGGUG
rnacentral:lncRNA from 1 species